rnacentral:rRNA from 1 species
AAUCAACGCUGGCGGCGUGCCUCAGACAUGCAAGUCGAACGAUUAAAGCUCUCUUCGGAGAGUGUAUAGAGUGGCGCACGGGUGAGUAACACGUAAGUAAUCUACCUUCGAGUGGGGAAUAACGUCCGGAAACGGACGCUAAUACCGCAUAAUGCAGCGGCAUCGCAAGAUGACAGUUGUUAAAGAUUUAUCGCUUGAAGAGGAGCUUGCGGCAGAUUAGCUAGUUGGUAAGGUAAUGGCUUACCAAGGCUACGAUCUGUAACGGUCUAAGAGGACGGUCGGUCACACUGACACUGAAUAACGGGUCAGACUCCUACGGGAGGCAGCAGUCGGGAAUUUUGGGCAAUGGGCGAAAGCCUGACCCAGCAACGCCGCGUGAAGGAUGAAGUAUUUCGGUAUGUAAACUUCGAAAGAAUGGGAAGAAUCAAUGACGGUACCAUUUAUAA